AUUGAACGCUGGCGGCAGGCCUAACACAUGCAAGUCGAACGAGUGGCGGACGGGUGAGUAAUGUCUGGGAAACUGCCUGAUGGAGGGGGAUAACUACUGGAAACGGUAGCUAAUACCGCAUACCAUCGGAUGUGCCCAGAUGGGAUUAGCUUGUUGGUGGGGUAAAGGUCUACCAAGGCGACGAUCCGUAACUGGUCUGAGAGGAUGAUCAGUCACACGUGAACUGAGACACGGUCCAGGCUCCUACGGGAGGCAGCAGUGGGGAAUAUUGGACAAUGGGCGAAAGCCUGAUUCAGCCAUGCCGCGUGUAUGAAGAAGGCCUUCGGGUUGUAAAGUACUGUCAUCAGGGAGGCGUUACCCGCAGAGAAAGCACCGGCUAACUCCGUGCCAGCAGCCGCGGUAAUUC
rnacentral:rRNA from 1 species